rnacentral:rRNA from 1 species
CUUUCAACAACGGAUCUCUUGGUUCCGGCAUCGAUGAAGAACGCAGCGAAAUGCGAUACGUAAUGUGAAUUGCAAAUUCAGUGAAUCAUCGAGUCUUUGAACGCACAUUGCGCCCCCUGGUAUUCCGGGGGGCAUGCCUGUCCGAGCGUCAUUUCU